rfam:Clostridium ventriculi strain 2789STDY5834858 genome assembly, contig: SCcontig000008
AGGAUGGUAUCUUAUGAACCAUACUAUUAUUUAUUUUGAUUAUAUUUGAAUUAAAAACGCUCAUACUUAUGAUGAGAUGAGACGAGAU